rnacentral:rRNA from 1 species
GAUGAACGCUAGCUACAGGCUUAACACAUGCAAGUCGAGGGGCAGCACGGAGAUAGCUUGCUAUCUUGGGUGGCGACCGGCGCACGGGUGAGUAACGCGUAUCCAACCUGCCCAUUACUCAGGGAUAGCCUUGCGAAAGUAAGAUUAAUACCUGAUGUUGUUUGAUUGCCGCAUGACGAUCAAACCAAAGAUUUAUUGGUAAUGGAUGGGGAUGCGUGACAUUAGGUAGUUGGUGAGGUAACGGCUCACCAAGCCCACGAUGUCUAGGGGUUCUGAGAGGAAGGUCCCCCACACUGGAACUGAGACACGGUCCAGACUCCUACGGGAGGCAGCAGUGAGGAAUAUUGGUCAAUGGACGAGAGUCUGAACCAGCCAAGUAGCGUGCAGGAUGACGGCCCUCUGGGUUGUAAACUGCUUUUAGUUGGGAAUAAAAAGAGGGACGUGUCCCUAAUUGUAUGUACCAUCAGAAAAAGGACCGGCUAAUUCCGUGCCAG